rnacentral:tRNA from 1 species
GUUAAGUCUGGAUAUAGCUCAGUGGUCAGAGUGUUGAACUCGUAAUUUGAAGGCCCGGGUUCGAAUCCCGUACUUUUAACU